AAAUCCCCUGAACUCUUCAGCAUUAAUCUGAAGCCAGUUAUGCAAGACUACUGUCUGAGACAAGCCAAGGUGGCUGUGAAGUACUGCUGCACUUCUGCUGGCUUGGAAAUGGCUGUUUUGCUUGUAGUCUGCACCACCACAGGCCAAGGAACGAGUAGUCAGAGUUGAAAUUAGAAGAUUUUUUAAUUCACAUUUGGAGGUGGAGAAAACACAUAAAUCUGAAUCUCCAGAUUUUUGUUUGCUGAAGCUAAAUGAAAGAAAGCUAAAAUGGAAGCAUGCUGCAACAUCAAAGGAUUUACAUCUCAGGAAUACGUUAGUAAGUGAAUACAGUUUUCAUGUGAUUGCAGUUACGAUAAAGAAUAAUGCAGUGUGAUACCAUUCUAG
rnacentral:lncRNA from 1 species